rnacentral:rRNA from 1 species
GACAAACGCUGGCGGCGUGCCUAACACAUGCAAGUCGAGCGGAGAUAAUGGUUGAGUAAUCGGCGAUUAUUUUAGCGGCGGACGGGUGAGUAACGCGUGAGCGACCUGCCUUUUACAGGGGGAUAACGGAGGGAAACCUUCACUAAUGCCGCAUGAGACCUCUUAGCCGCAUGGCAGAGAGGUUAAAGGAGUUAAAUCCGGUAAGAGAGGGGCUCGCGUCCGAUUAGGUAGUUGGUGAGGUAAGGGCUCACCAAGCCAACGAUCGGUAGCCGACCUGAGAGGGUGAUCGGCCACAUUGGAACUGAGAACGGUCCAAACUCCUACGGGAGGCAGCAGUGGGGAAUAUUGGGCAAUGGGGGGAACCCUGACCCAGCGACGCCGCGUGAGGGAAGAAGGUUUUCGGAUUGUAAACCUCUGUCCUUGGUGAAGAGAAGAAGACGGUAGCCAAGGAGGAAGCCCCGGCUAACUACGUG